rnacentral:rRNA from 1 species
CCUACGGGGGGCAGCAGUGGGGAAUAAUGCGCAAUGGGCGAAAGCCUGACGCAGCGACGCCGCGUGAGGGAUGAAGGUCUUCGGAUCGUAAACCUCUGUCAGCAGGGAAGAACGGUCACUGUGCUAAUCAGCAGUGAAUUGACGGUACCUGCAAAGGAAGCACCGGCUAACUCCGUGCCAGCAGCCGCGGUAAUACGGAGGGUGCGAGCGUUAAUCGGAAUUACUGGGCGUAAAGCGCUCGUAGGCGGUAUGUCAAGUCAAGGGUGAAAUCCCCGGGCUCAACGUGGGAAGUGCCUUUGAAACGGGCAAACUGGAGUGUGUGAGAGGAUAGGGGAAUUCCAGGUGUAGGAGUGAAAGCCGUAGAUAUCUGGAGGAACAUCAGUGGCGAAGGCGACUAUCUGGCACAUAACUGACGCUGAGGAGCGAAAGCGUGGGUAGCAAACAGGAUUAGAUACCCUGGUAGUC